rnacentral:sRNA from 13 species
GCGAGACGGGUGGUCCUGCGGACGGUGGCGACCGAUAAACUGCACUUGGAACGUGAUCGGGCGCAGCCCCCGGUGUGGUUCCGCCAAAUGAUCAGCCAGCAGCCGCUGCAACCCCAGGGAG